UAGGGAAUAUUAGAAAUGGACGAAAGUCUGAUCUAGCAACACCGCGUGUGCGAAGAAGGCCUUCGGGUCGUAAAGCACUUUUUGGAAGGAAUAGGAAGGAAUGUACUUCCAGAAUAAGUCUCGGCUAACUACGUGCCAGCAGCCGCGGUAACACGUAGGAGGCAAACGUUAUCCGGAUUUACUGGGCGUAAAGCGCGUGUAGGUGGUACUGUAAGUAGGGCGUGAAAGCUCCUGGCUCAACUGGGAGAGGCCGUUCUAAACUACAGAACUAGAGGAUGGUAGAGGGAGGUGGAAUUCCAGGUGUAGCGGUGGAAUGCGCAGAUAUCUGUAGGAACACCGGUGGCGAAGGCGGCCUCCUGGACCAUUCCUGACACUCAGACGCGAAAGCUAGGGUAGCAAACG
rnacentral:rRNA from 1 species